CCCAAGGAAAGAUGUUGCACACUGUGAGAACUGCACAGACUACAGCAGUUACAGUGUAGAUUGAGGGAUUUAUUGUUCACGCAUCCCAUAUUCUGCAGCAACAGUUCCAGGCUAUAGAAUGCUCAUUUCUUUCUCUGCAGUUCCUGAGGAAGCAGGCAGUGGUACAUGGAAGUACCUGGCAGAACGGCGGCAAAAGCGUCACGAUCGAGCAGUGACCGAAAUGCAGCAGGAGCUGGACGGCAUUGGCAGGGAGAUGGAAGCCUCUGUUUUGAAGAUUCAGGAAUUCCUUCAGCUUAAAGUGAUGAAAUCAGAUGAAAAGAGUAAACUUCUGUUUGAAAAGAUUGCAUCUGACAUGGCUUUGGAAGGUUUCUCAUUUGAAGGUUUGGAAGAACUGUGGAAUAUGAUCCAUGAAGAAUCCUCAAACAGAAAAAAGUGGAUUAGGGCAGUGGACGAAUCCCUGAAGGAGAUUGAAAGGAGUCGAGCUGUUAAAGUGAGCUGCAGUCUCAAUAACUGUUGCUUAAGCAUAAGAUUGUUAUUUGCUGAUACCAUGCUGGAUGCAGAGCAGGAGUAGCUUGUUUCCACAGGAGUCAGAGGCCUGCCAGUAGUUCUGUUAUGUGGUGAUUGCUUUCUUUUCACUAAUAAACUCAUUUAUUUUCACUCAUUUUACACCCACAUAAUCAGGAAAAGCUACUUUUUUCCUAGUUUUAAGGUGUUUCUUUCUUUCAUGAUUACGGAUACUACAGGUGCAAGGAAUAUGUGAGCUGCUUUUAUUUUCCUGGAGACUUGUGUAGGUCAAACUUUCAUCUGGUCUGUUAUUUUUUUGGGGAACAUAGCUAUUCUGCAGCUGAGAAGGAGCAUAGACAUGAGCUAGCUUGAUUUUAGUUUGUGUUGGCUGGGUGUCAGUAGCAAAUGUGUUGCAGUUUUGUAGUAUCCAGCCUAACCUGUCAAAGUCAUUGGACAUCAUGGGAAACGUUUGGAUAAAAAAAUUGAUAGACUAUGGAAGAGCUUGCUGCACUGUCCUUGUAGGCAAAGAAAAACUGUUCCAUCAGUGCCUGUUCCUCCUCUCUUUGUAAUUCAGAUAGCAGAUGUACUGACCAAGUAGACCUUGAAACUGGAAGAAAUUUCUUUCUUCUUGGCAGCUGAUGUUCACCAGCUCAUUAACAAUAAGGCCAUGAAUAUAAACAGAGUACUGCUGGGUAAUGAGAGGGCAACUGCCAAGCUGCUCUUUAAUGUAAUGAAAUCAGAGCUUGAGAAAGACAAAUUGCAUCAACUGAAAUGGCAAGAGAGAGUCAAGGUCUGGAAGCUCAUCCAAAAGAACUGCAUAGUUCAGAGUUUCAGAGAAUUUACGGCAAGUGAAGAAAUACAGAAUCCCCCAACUGUGAAAACAGAAAUGGAAAAUAUGAUAAAGGAGCAGAUUGUACUUAGUGAACAGAGACUGAGAGUUUUGCAGCACAUUGGCACCUUGUUGCCUCCAAAACAUACACAAUCUGACAUAAUAAAUGAAUGGUACAGAACUCUGGAGAAUUUAAACAGGAGUAUUGGUAAGUUGAGAAAUGAUAAAACCAGUUUGGAAUUCAAGCAAUCCUUUCUUUUUCCCCAGGCAACGAGGCAGACAG